AGAUUCCCUGGAUAUUUUCUUCUUCAGAAUUUCCUUUAUAAAAAAAAAAGAAAGGAAGAAAAGAAAAAAAAGUCAUUGUCUUCAGGAAUCGUGGCAGAAAUUUCUCCCCAGCAAAGAAAAGCAGCUAUCAAUGGAGAAGUUGUAGUUUAGUAGCAGGCUGUAGUGCAAAUUUAAAAUUCUCAUUUUCCAGGGGUCACAGGAUAGCUGAGGCUGGAAGUGACCUCUUGAAGUCACCUGGUCAAACCUUGGUUUAUUUUGAAUGAAACAGCAUCAUACCAGACACUCUGAAGAAAACAAUUCUAUCCCAGCUGAAACUAAGACACCAGGAUGACGUCCAGACAAUUUAUGAAGAUCUCUAAGAAGGAGACUCCAGAGCCUCUCUGUGCCAAUACUCAGUCACCUGCACAGCACAGAAAUGUUCAGGCAGAGCAUCCUCUGUUCCUGUUUGUUCCCCUUGCUUUUUGUCCUGGCAAUGGGCAUUACUGAAUAGAACCUGAAUUGGUUAUUUGCACCCUCCCUUCAGUUAUUUAUAGGCAUUGAUGAGAUCCCCCCCCAAGCCUUCUCCAGGCUGAACAGUCCCAGCUCUCAGCCUUUCCUCACAGGAGAGAUGCCCCAGUCCUUCCAUCAUCAUGGUAACCCUUUGUUAGACUCUUUCCAGUGUUUCCAUGUCUCUCUUGUACCGGGGGAAUCCAGGCUGGACCCAGUACUUGAGAUGUGGCUUCAACAGUGCUGGGCAGAGGGGAAGAAUCACUCACCUUGUCCUGAUGGUAUUAUGUCCCAGGGUAUCAUCAGACGUUUAGACUUUUUUUCAGCAGUGGCCCAUUACUGGCUCAUGUCAAACUUGGUGCCCACCAGAGCUACCUGGCCCUUUUCUUCAAAGUUGCUUUCCAGCUGAGUGACACCCAGCAUGUGCUGAUGCCUGGGGUUGUUCCUUCCAACACACAGUUCUUUGCAUUUCCCUUUGUUGAGCUUCUUGAGGAUCCUGUCAGCCCAGUUCUCCAUCCUGUUGAGGUUCGUCUGGAUGACAGCACAACCCUCUUGUGUAUUUUAUGGAAAGGAAGAGGAUCAAAGCUGCUGGAGACUUCAGAUGAGCGGAUACCAGAGGGAGACCUCUCCAGGAGCCAUGGGUGGAAUAGACCCCAUUUGCAGUUCAGUUACAUAACAUUUGGAGCAUUCUAGAGCUUCUGCACUUCUAAUCCAUAAGUCACUGCAGGAAGGACACACUGAUUGGAAACCUCUCACUCCAGACAGA
rnacentral:lncRNA from 1 species